ACCUAGACAGGAACAACUGCUGUCUGCUUUUAGCGACACACCUCAGUGAUUGGUGAUCGCUUUAUGGUCACGAUCGGAAAGGGGUGCGGAGCACAAACACUCCCAAACGUCUCUUUGAACUGCCGGAGAACUGUGUUAGCUGCAUGUGUACGGUGCUCCGCGACAACAAUAAGCCAAACACGAUAGUUAACGUGAACUGUUUUUCACAGCGUUUUAAAACGAAACAGUGAUACAAAACGAUGAGCGUAAGGGAGCCAGCGCGAUCAAAACAAACCGCCAGCAUGAGCAGUCACCGCAGCACUAAUGGUUGCAGAUAAGGAACAGAAUGAUUACGGCAUGGUUCAAAUUAGCGAACAUAGAACGCAGAUCGAAAACUUGAGCUACGGGACAGCAGUGGAAAAGCGUAAGUAGAAUCAUCUGCGAUAGCAGAGAAGGCGAUAGUCGGAACAAAACCAAUCAAGUAC